rnacentral:rRNA from 1 species
AGGAUGAACGCUGGCGGCGUGCUUAACACAUGCAAGUCGAACGAUGAAGGCUGGAGCUUGCUCUGGCUGGAUUAGUGGCGAACGGGUGAGUAACACGUGAGUAACCUGCCCCUGACUCUGGGAUAAGCGCUGGAAACGGCGUCUAAUACCGGAUACGAGCUUCCACCGCAUGGUGAGGAGCUGGAAAGUAAUUUCGGUCUGGGAUGGACUCGCGGCCUAUCAGCUUGUUGGUGAGGUAAUGGCUCACCAAGGCGACGACGGGUAGCCGGCCUGACGAGGGUGACCGGCCACACGUGGGACUGGACGACACGGCCCAGACCUCCGUAACGGGAGGCAGCAGUGGGAAUAUUGCACAGUGGCGCAAGCCUGAUGCAGACAACGCCGCGUGAGGACGAA